GUGAAUCAUCGAAUCUUUGAACGCAAAUUGCGCUUCCUGGUAUCCCGGGAAGUAUGCCUGUUUGAGGGUCAGUAUUUAUAAAAAUCGGCGUGUUGCUUCUUUGUGACGCUCCGGAGUUUGGUUCAUCUUAAUAUCCUUUAGGUUUUAAGAGGCUUAAAAUUUAAUUUUUUUGUGCAUUUUAGCUGCACAUAAAUUCUUUUUUUUAUUCGUAUGUCUUAAUACUCAAAAUCCUAUUAUAUGCGACCAUAUC
rnacentral:misc_RNA from 1 species